CAAAUCAAACCAAAAUGGCUUAGGUCGUUUUGGUGAUAGGGAUCCCAGUUCAGCAUAUAUCCUAUCAAUUUGAUAUUCACACUCCAUGGUCCACAAUUCUCAACAAUUAUAAAUGAAUUCCAUUUUUAGUGUGAUAAGUUAGCAAGGGAAUGAGUGAAGAGGGGAAAAGGAAGCCUAAGAUAACAUAGAGGGAAGUAGCAUCACAAAAUUUAUAAGUUUUGGAUAUUGAGGCGAACUAGGUGUCUAAUAGAACUGAAGGGUGAAAAAGGAUCCAUAUAGCCGACUGUAAUUAGCUUAGAAUUAAGGCUUAGUUGUUGUUGU
rnacentral:misc_RNA from 1 species